rnacentral:misc_RNA from 1 species
UUAAGUUCAGCGGGUAUCCCUACCUGAUCCGAGGUCAACCUUUGAUAAAUUGGGGGUUCUGGCGAGCACUCGCCUGGACUCCGGAGCGAGAGAAAUUACUACGCUUGAAGCCAGACGGCACCGCCACUGUUUUUGAGGCGCACCCGGGGGUGACGCCCAAUACCAAGCAGAGCUUGAGGGUUGUAAUGACGCUCGAACAG